rnacentral:snRNA from 1 species
AUGCUCCCUCAGCAGUGCAUAUACUAAAACUGGAGCUGUACAGAGAUCAGCAUGGCAUCUAUGUAAGACUGAUUCUCAGAUUCGGAAAGCAUUCCAUAUUUGA